rnacentral:rRNA from 1 species
UGCAGUCGAGCGGACCGACGGGAGCUUGCUCCCUUAGGUCAGCGGCGGACGGGUGAGAAACACGUGGGUAACCUGCCUGUAAGACUGGGAUAACUCCGGGAAACCGGGGCUAAUACCGGAUGCUUGAUUGAACCGCAUGGUUCAAUUAUAAAAGGUGGCUUUUACCUACCACUUACAUAGGGACCCGGGGCGAAUUACCUAGUUGCGGAGCC